UACGUAGGGUGCAAGCGUUGUCCGGAAUUAUUGGGCGUAAAGAGCUCGUAGGCGGUCUGUCGCGUCGGCUGUGAAAUCCCGAGGCUCAACCUCGGGUCUGCAGUCGAUACGGGCAAACUAGAGUAUUGCAGGGGAGACUGGAAUUCCUGGUGUAGCGGUGAAAUGCGCAGAUAUCAGGAGGAACACCGGUGGCGAAGGCGGGUCUCUGGGACGGUACUGACGCUGAGACGCGAAAGCGUGGGGAGCGAACAGG
rnacentral:rRNA from 1 species